UAAUAAGUGUUUUAUGGCACUUUUUAAAUCCAUAUCCACCUGUGUGCAAUGUCAGUCGAUCUUCUUCAUGGAGAUCGACCAAACAUCAACCUUUAUCUUUUAACUCUUUGUCUGAAAAAUAUUAUGAAUAAACAAUUCAAAAUA
rnacentral:misc_RNA from 1 species